rnacentral:lncRNA from 1 species
CUUCAGUAUUUAGGAGGCCCUCCAGCAGGCUUUCCUUGACCCCUUAGCUGCCACUAUUAUUAUUCCAGUGUAUCUGGAUAGUUCUUAGACUUAGAUUGAUUUGGCCAGGGUUCUCAGCUGGAAAGAUGAGACAUCCAUUAGUCCACCAAUCUUUCCUCCCUCCCUUGUUCCAUACGUGGUGUAUCUUUCUGUUGAACACACAUUUUUUUUUUUAAGAGAGAGUGAGAGAGAAUUUUUUUUAAUAUUUAUUUUUUAGUUAUUGGCAGACACAACAUCUUUGUUUGUAUGUGGUGCUGAGGAUCGAACCCAGGCCACACGCAUGCCAGGCAAGCGCGCUACCGCUUGAGCCACAUCCCCAGCCCGAACACACAUAUUACUAUUCUGUAGGCCCACUGAAGGAUGUUGGGGAGCUCCAGAUUGUUCAAGUUUUGUCAGUCUAGGCCCCUAAAACAUCCCUGCUGUGUGGCCACCAGGACACAUUCACACAGACAAGAUGUCAUGAGAGUUCAAUGAGGAUGAUAUAUCUACACUUUUUAUUUUAAUUUUCCCUUAACAGACUAACCAGUAGGGUUACAGAACCCAGUUGGGUUACGGAAGUUUGCAAGAUAGAAUUUGGUUGUUUUGGGGUGGGUUUUUGUUGCUGCUGUUGUUUUGUACCAGAGAUUUAAUCCAGAGGUGCUUUAUUUUUUUUUAUUUUUUGAGACAGGGAUUCCCAAAAUUGCUUAGGACCUUGCUAAAUUGCUGAAGCUGACCUCAAACUUUAAAUCCGUCUGACUCAGCCUAUUAGUUGCUGGGAUUACAGGCAUGUGCCACCACAUCUGGCUCUGUAGAUACUUAAGAGAUACUUGGGGAUAACUGAAAGGACCAGAUGAACAAAUAAAACCCUUUCACUUAGUUGUGCUAUAAAGAAAAUAAAGCAAGGUAAUAGAGUGGAUGACUGAGAUUGAGGGGAUGAUGGAGAUUAGGGGUGAGUUUAGAUCUCAAAAAAGAUAAGGAAUCAUCUACAAAAAGAUCUGGGGCAGGGAGAACAUUCCAGGCAAAGGAAAGAGCAAAUGCAAGGGGAUGGAAAUGAGAAAGAAAUAGGGGUAAGGUAUUGAGGGAUAUUCCAGGCAUGGAAAGACUACAAAACCAGAGACCUUCUGUACCAGCCAUACACAGGAGCAACUGGAAAGACCUGGGGCCCCAGGGUAAUAUGGUGAUUAGGCCUUAGAAAAUUAUGUGGAGUCAGGGACUAAGUUUCUUAGUUGCAGGGUAUUAUAAUCAGAGUUGUUCGUUAGGUAGAUGGUUUCAUAUCUUGUGGAUGGAUUGGAGGAGUGAAAUUUGGAAAGGGAAAGAUCACAUAUUUUUUGAAACAAAAAAUAUGUGUACAGUCUUUGCUAUUCUAAUUCUUCCUCCCCUCCCCCAGUGAAGUGCAACUGUACCUAGUGGCUUGCUUCUGAUGAAUAGAAUGUGGCAGAAAUGAUGCUGUGUGACAUCUGUGAUAGGGCGCAGGUUUUGUGAUUUCCUCCUUGCUUUCUAUCUUGUAUUGUGUUUUCUGGGAGAAGCCAGCUGCCAUGUUGUGAGGACACACUCAAGCAGCCCUGUGCGAAAGCUCAAGUGGCAAGGGACUGGGGCCUUCUGCCAACAGCCAUGUGAGUGUGCCAUCUUGGAAUAGAUCCUCCAGCCCCUUUUUAAGUCAAACCUUUAGAGGACUUCGGCCCUGGCCGGCAUCUUCACUGUGGCCUCCUGGGAGACCCUUAGCUGGAACACCCAGCUAAACUCUUUCCAGAUUGAUGAUCUACAGAAACUGAGAUGGUGUUUGCUUUGUUAAGCCUCUAAGUUUGUGAAUAAUAUAUUAUGUAGCCAGUAGAUAUAGUAGAACCCACUUAUCCUAGGGGAUACCCCUCAAGACUCCCAGCAAAUGCUUAAAACUGUGGUUAGUACCAAACCCUGCAUUUAUAUUUUUUCCUGUGUAUUUGUUAAAUACACAAACUUAAUACCUUUUCCUUUAUCAUCAAGCACUUAUGCACUGUGGGUGUAAUUUUUGCAGUUUGAGGUGUAGAAGCAAAACUAGCAUGAAUUUCUUUUCCUUCUUCACAAUUUUCAUGGAUAGCUAGUUUGUUCUUACCAUAAAACUUAGCAACCUCAGCAAAUAAUUGUUUGUUUUUCCUUAUUAAGUUCAGAACAUUCACCUUUAGGAACAUUCAUUUAUAGGAAGCAUUUUGUGGCUUCUCCAAAUUUAGGGGAAAAAGAAUUUGGUGGGAUCCAUUGUCUUAAUGCCAAGAAAUACCCACUUUAUUAUUUUUUUUCUUGAAUAUUCUUUUAGUUGUAGAUGGACGUGAUACCUUUAUUUUAUUUAUUUAUUUUUAUGUGUGCUGAGGAUUGAACCCAGUGCUCACACGUGCUAGGCAAGCACUGUACCACUGAGCCACUAGCCAGCCCGGGCCCCACUUAUUAAUAAUUGGGGUUUUUUUUGUUUGUUUUCGUUUUGGGGGUUAUCGGGGAUUGAAUCCAGGUCCUCUCACAUGGUA